rnacentral:rRNA from 1 species
UACGGGGGGAGCAAGCGUUGUUCGGAUUUACUGGGCGUAAAGGGCGCGUAGGCGGUCAGCACAAGUCAGUUGUGAAAUCUCCGGGCUUAACUCGGAAAGGUCAACUGAUACUGUGCGACUAGAGUGCGGAAGGGGCAACUGGAAUUCUCGGUGUAGCGGUGAAAUGCGUAGAUAUCGGGAGGAACACCAGUGGCGAAGGCGGCGACCUGGACGGACACUGACGCUGAGACGCGAAAGCGUGGGGAGCAAACAGG